rnacentral:misc_RNA from 1 species
GUGGGAGCAAAGCUUGCUCGCGACACCGGCGCCCCGGUUUUCCUGAAAGACCGCAUGAUCUUCAUCGCGAGCAAGCUUUGCUCCCAC